GGCUAAAGGAGGAGCCAUGCUACAGGGCAAGGUCAAGGAUUCCGGCUGUCCAUGGUAGAGGGCAAAGAUGUGCCAGAGAAGUCAGCUGGAUAAUAAAGCUGUGGGUAAGAACCACUUUCCACUGUAGUUCGCAGUCUGAAAUCCAAGGUGUUCUCCUCUGGAAGGCUAGGCUGGCUGCUGUGAGACAUGAUGUGACAGGCGACAGUGACACUGUUCCCGAGCAACCUGGUCCUGCUGUGUGAGAACCAGCCCUGAGGUGCUGUGAGACUAAGGAAGAGGCAGACAGUGCAAUUUAGCAGAGACUACUGACACAAGCGUGGUCCUAGGCAGCAUCAAGGCCUGGUGGAUUUCUGCCAUUUGGGUCAGCAGGAGGUCAGAACACUAUGCAUUUCAAUUUUAUGUAUAACUAGAAGGCAUCAAUAACAAAACAAAUAAAUAAUAAGUAUAAGGAAGACCAAUAGACUAGAGGAAGUGGAUCAGAGGGAGGAAGGAGGGAAGGGAAACAGGGACUGAAAUAGAGAAAACUAUGUUAUUUGCAUUGGUGGGUAUAUAUAACUAUAAUACACUAAAAGAAAAAAAAAGGUCAGGAUAAAAGUAACUUCAUCUUAGCCAGAAUGAACCUGGUUUAUCUCAAGCUAGUAUCAAAGACGUCAGGCACAUUCCUGGUGCUGAUAACACAGGGGGCCAGGUCAGAAAGCUCCACAUACCACUCCAGUGGUUUUGUUUAUCUGGGAAACUAUGUGGGGAGAACAUGCCAGGGUUUCUCAGAGGCAAUCAUGGUGGUUAUGACUCAAGAUGGUGGCUGUCAGGUCAAACGGAAUCCCUCGACCCUGUAAUAGUUUAUGGCUGAGGACAUGGUGGAAAGAGCCCUGGGCUUGGAUUACAGAGGGCUCAUCCUCUGGGGUUAAGUGGCUUCCUAGCAAGUCAUUUGUGAGCUCAUUUCCACAUUUCUGGAAUGGGGAUUAUGAUAUCUAUCCUAAUCACCUAAAGAGACCACUCUCAGAGUCAAAUGUGCA
rnacentral:lncRNA from 1 species